CGACGUCGGUUCCUCUUCCUGACUGCAGUGUAUCAGGAGGAUUUUACGACGUCGCAGAGAAACGAGUCUGUUUCACCCAGAAUGCAUCAGGCUGCCGCCACACACACAGCGUCCUGGUUUUGCGAGACUCAACAGCA